rnacentral:rRNA from 1 species
AUUGAACGCUGGCGGCAUGCCUAACACAUGCAAGUCGAGCGGAUGAAGGGAGCUUUCUCCUGUAUGCAGCUGCGGACGGGUGAGUAAUUCCUAGGAAGCUGCCUGGCAGUGGGGGAUAACGUCCGGUAACGGGCGCUAAUACCGCAUACGUCCUGAGGGAGAAAGUCGUGGAUCUUCAGAGCUCACGCUUUCAGAUGAGCCUAGGUCGUAUUAGCUAGUUGGUGUGGUAAAGGCCUACCAAGGCGACGAUCCGUAACUGGUCUGAGAGGAUGAUCAGUCACACUGGAACUGAGACACGGUCCAGACUCCUACGGGAGGCAGCAGUGGGGAAUAUUGGACAAUGGGCGAAAGCCUGAUCCAGCCAUGCCGCGUGAGUGAAGAAGGUCUUCGGAUUGUAAAACACUUUAAGUUGGGAGGAAGGGCAGUAAGUUAAUACCUUGCUGUUUUGACGUUACCAACAGAAUAAGCACCGGCUAACUUCGUG